GUGUUGUGUGAGAGACUGCACUCCCCUUCACAAGAUGGAAGAGGCUUCAGCCUGCAACACACAUAAGUUUAAGGCACUGCCACCUACUUCAUAGCAUCUAACCAACAUUUUUA
rnacentral:ncRNA from 1 species